CCUACGGGUGGCAGCAGUAGGGAAUCUUCCACAAUGGGCGAAAGUCUGAUGCAGCAACGCCGCGUGAGUGAAGAAGGGUUUCGGCUCGUAAAGCUCUGUUUGCAGGGAAGAACGAUAGAGGUAGUAACUGGCCGUUAUUUGACGGUAAUUACUUAGGAAGUCACGGCUAACUACGUGCCAGCAGCCGCGGUAAUACGUAGGGGGCAAGCGUUGUCCGGAUUUAUUGGGCGUAAAGCGAGUGCAGGCGGUACGAUAAGUCUGAUGUGAAAGCCUUCGGCUCAACGGGAGAAUUGCCUCAGAAACUGGUGAACUUGAGUGUGGAAGAGGAGAGUGGAACUCCAGGUGUAGCGGUGGAAUGCGUAGAUAUAUGGAAGAACACCAGUGGCGAAGGCGGCUAUCUGGCACGUAACUGACGCUGAGGAUCGAAAGCAUGGGUAGCGAACAGGAUUAGAUACCCGAGUAGUC
rnacentral:rRNA from 1 species